rnacentral:rRNA from 1 species
AGUGAGACUGCGGGCGCCAAGGUUCGUAGUCGAAAGGGAAACAGCCCAAACCGGCAAUGCUAAGGUCCCAAAUGUCAUGCUAAGUGUUAAAUGAAGUCUGGAUGCACAGACAGCCAGGAGGUUGGCUUAGAAGCAGCCAUUCCUUAAAAGAGUGCGUAACAGCUCACUGGUCGAGCAUCCGGGCACAGACAAUGUAACGGGGCUAAGUAUGAAACCGAAAUUCCGGAUUCAUCACGUAGGUGAUGAGUGGUAGGGGAGCAUUGAUACAACUGACGAAGGAAUACAUGUGAGUGGUUCUGGAGGAAUAUCAAAGAGAGAAUGCAGGCAUAAGUAACGAAAAAGCGGGUGCGAUCCCCGCUCGCCGAAAACCUAAGGUUUCCAGGGUAAAGGCAAUCUGCCCUGGGUAAGUCGGCCCCUAAGUUCAGGACGAAAGUCGUAGACGAUGGGAAAUUGGUUUAUAAUCCAAUACUUAUUAAGUUAGAUGGAAUGACGCAUGAGGUGAAAUCCGGCAGGGCGACGGUUGUCCCUGUCAAAGCAGUAAGGUGACGAGGGGGUGGUUAAAAGAACUCCUGAGCUGAGCUGUAACAGCGAGUGGAAAGAAAGUUGAAGCGAAGCGGACGUAAUCAAGGUGCCGGGAAAUAAUUCCUAAAAUGUGCUUAAUAAACCGUACCGGAAACCGACACAGGUAGGAAGGAUGAGUAAUCUAAGGCGCACGAGCGACCUCGCGUUAAGGAACUCGGCAAAAUGCGCACGUAACUUCGGAAGAAGUGCGGCUCCUGUUAGAAAUAAUGGGGAGUGACACAAAGCAGGCCCAGGCGACUGUUUAUCAAAAACACAGCCAUCUGCGAACC